UACGGAGGGGGCUAGCGUUGUUCGGAAUUACUGGGCGUAAAGCGCGCGUAGGCGGCUUUGCAAGUCAGAGGUGAAAGCCCGGGGCUCAACCCCGGAAUUGCCUUUGAAACUGCAUCGCUAGAACGUCGGAGAGGUGAGUGGAACUGCGAGUGUAGAGGUGAAAUUCGUAGAUAUUCGCAAGAACACCAGUGGCGAAGGCGGCUCACUGGCCCGAUACUGACGCUGAGGUGCGAAAGCGUGGGGAGCAAACAGG
rnacentral:rRNA from 1 species